AUAAAUAAAUAGCAUGUUCACAAAUAUUUUUAAAAUUAAUAUAAUCAUACCAAAUUGUUUCUUCUCAAAAAAGAAAUUUAAAAUAAGCUAACUUAAAAUUUUUGGUGUAUAUAAAAUUGGUGAACCCCAAUUCAAGGUUGAAAAUCAAUGAUGGAUUAUCCCAUGAAAUCAGCUAUCUCACUUUUUAAAUGGGAUAAUUAAUCUUACAUUUCUGUUAUUUUAAGAUAAAAAUUAAUUAAAUAUUAUAAAAAGUUAAUUAAUUUUUUUUAAAAAAAACUGACAUGUUUUAGUAAAUAUUCUAUCUUUACAAUCGUGCUAUACUUUCAACAAAUUUAUGAAACACAAUGACACUUUCUAUUCUUAUAGUAAAUCUCAAGCGCGCCUUUCUCCACCUCUUAAAAUAUUUUUCUUUCUAGAUCUCCC
rnacentral:lncRNA from 1 species